UAAUACGUAGGGUGCAAGCGUUAUCCGGAAUUAUUGGGCGUAAAGGGCUCGUAGGCGGUUCGUCGCGUCCGGUGUGAAAGUCCAUCGCUUAACGGUGGAUCCGCGCCGGGUACGGGCGGGCUUGAGUGCGGUAGGGGAGACUGGAAUUCCCGGUGUAACGGUGGAAUGUGUAGAUAUCGGGAAGAACACCAAUGGCGAAGGCAGGUCUCUGGGCCGUCACUGACGCUGAGGAGCGAAAGCGUGGGGAGCGAACAGG
rnacentral:rRNA from 1 species